rnacentral:rRNA from 1 species
UACGGAGGGUGCGAGCGUUGUCCGGAAUCAUUGGGCGUAAAGGGCGCGUAGGUGGCCCGGUCAGCGUGCGGUGAAAGCUCGGGGCUCAACCCCGAGUCUGCCGUGCGAACUGCUGGGCUUGAGCACUGUAGAGGCAGGCGGAAUUCCGGGUGGAGUGGUGAAAUGCGUAGAGAUCCGGAGGAACACCGAAGGCGAAGGCAGUGUCCUGGCGAGUAUCCUGACGCUGAGGUGCGAAAGCCAGGGGAGCGAACGGG